rnacentral:rRNA from 1 species
CCUUAACCUGCUAACUAGAGCACAUUACGUGAGUAGUGUGUUACUUCUUAGAGGGACUGACUAUGUUUAAUAGUCGGAAGUUUGAGGCAAUAACAGGUCUGUGAUGCCCUUAGAUGUUCUGGGCUGCACGCGCGCUACACUGACAAAGGCAGCGAGUAUACCUUGGCCGAGAGGUCUGGGAAAUCUUGUUAAACUUUGUCGUGCUGGGGAUAGAUCAUUGCAAUUAUUGGUCUUGAACGAGGAAUUCCUAGUAAGCGCAAGUCAUCAGCUUGCGUUGAUUACGUCCCUGCCCUUUGUACACACCGCCCGUCGCUACUACCGAUUGAAUGGCUUAGUGAGGCCUUUGGAUUCGUCCUGGUCGCAAGAUCAGGAUGUGAGAAAUUGGACAAACUUGGUCAUUUAGAGGAAGUAAAAGUCG